UGCGUAGGCGGAUAUGCAAGUGUCUUGUGAAAUCCCCCGGCUUAACCGGGGAAUGGCAUGGAAAACUGCAUGUCUUGAGGCAAGUAGGGGUGUGUGGAACUCUUGGUGGAGCGGUGGAAUGCGUAGAUAUCAAGAGGAACGCCGAAGGUGAAGACAGCACACUGGACUUGUACUGACGCUGAGGCACGAAAGCGUGGGGAGCAAACAGGAUUAGAUACCCUGGUAGUC
rnacentral:rRNA from 1 species